UAAAAACCCCGACUUCGGAAGGGGUGUAUUUAUUAGAUACAAAACCAAUGCCCUUCGGGGCUCUUUGGUGAUUCAUGAUAACUAUACGAAUCGCACGGCCUUGCGCCGGCGAUGGUUCAUUCAAAUUUCUUCCCUAUCAACUUUCGAUGUUUGGGUAUUGGCCAAACAUGGUUGCAACGGGUAACGGAGGGUUAGGGCUCGACCCCGGAGAAGGAGCCUGAGAAACGGCUGCUACAUCCAAGGAAGGCAGCAGGCGCGCAAAUUACCCAAUCCCGACUCGGGGAGGUAGUGACAAUAAAUACUGAUACAGGGCCCUUUCGGGCCUUGUAAUUGGAAUGAGUACAAUUUAAAUCCCUUAACGAGGAACAAUUGGAGGGCAAGUCUGGUGCCAGCAGCCGCGGUAAUUCCAGCUCCAAUAGCGUAUAUUAAAGUUGUUGUGGUUAAAAAGCUCGUAGUUGAACCUUGGGCCUGGCUGGCCGGUCCGCCUCACCGCGUGCACUGGUCCGGCCGGGCCUUCCCCUCUGUGGAACCCCAUACCCUUCACUGGGGCGUGGCGGGGGAAACAGGACAUUUACU
rnacentral:rRNA from 1 species